rnacentral:rRNA from 1 species
CUACGUAGGGGGCGAGCGUUGUCCGGAAUGAUUGGGUGUAAAGGGCGCGUAGGCGGCGCGGUAAGUCUGGAGUGAAAGUCCUGCUUUCAAGGUGGGAAUUGCUUUGGAUACUGGGGGGCUUGAGUGCAGGAGAGGUUAUCGGAAUUCCCGGUGUAGCGGUGAAAUGCGUAGAGAUCGGGAGGAACACCAGUGGCGAAGGCGGGUAACUGGACUGCAACUGACGCUGAGGCGCGAAAGUGUGGGGAGCAAACAGGAUUAGAUACCCUGGUAGUCCACUCUGUAAACGAUGAAUGCUAGGUGUAAGAGGUAUCGACCCCUUUUGUGCCGGAGUCAACACAAUAAGCAUUCCGCCUGGGGAGUACGGCCGCAAGGUUGAAACUCAAAGGAAUUGACGGGG